GACGAACGCUGGCGGCGUGCUUAACACAUGCAAGUCGAACGGAAAGGCCCUGCUUUUGUGGGGUGCUCGAGUGGCGAACGGGUGAGUAACACGUGAGUAACCUGCCCUUGACUUUGGGAUAACUUCAGGAAACUGGGGCUAAUACCGGAUAGGAGCUCCUGCUGCAUGGUGGGGGUUGGAAAGUUUCGGCGGUUGGGGAUGGACUCGCGGCUUAUCAGCUUGUUGGUGGGGUAGUGGCUUACCAAGGCUUUGACGGGUAGCCGGCCUGAGAGGGUGACCGGCCACAUUGGGACUGAGAUACGGCCCAGGCUCCUACGGGAGGCAGCAGUGGGGAAUAUUGCACAAUGGGCGGAAGCCUGAUGCAGCAACGCCGCGUGCGGGAUGACGGCCUUCGGGUUGUAAACCGCUUUCGCCUGUGACGAAGCGUGAGUGACGGUAAUGGGUAAAGAAGCACCGGCUAACUACGUGCCAGCAGCCGCGGUGAUACGUAGGGUGCGAGCGUUGUCCGGAUUUAUUGGGCGUAAAGGGCUCGUAGGUGGUUGAUCGCGUCGGAAGUGUAAUCUUGGGGCUUAACCCUGAGCGUGCUUUCGAUACGGGUUGACUUGAGGAAGGUAGGGGAGAAUGGAAUUCCUGGUGGAGCGGUGGAAUGCGCGGAUAUCAGGAGGAACACCAGUGGCGAAGGCGGUUCUCUGGGCCUUUCCUGACGCUGAGGAGCGAAAGCGUGGGGAGCGAACAGGCUUAGAUACCCUGGUAGUCCACGCUGUAAACGGUGGGUACUAGGUGUGGGGUCCAUUCCACGGGUUCCGUGCCGUAGCUAACGCUUUAAGUACCCCGCCUGGGGAGUACGGCCGCAAGGCUAAAACUCAAAGGAAUUGACGGGGCCCCGCACAAGCGGCGGAGCAUGCGGAUUAAUUCGAUGCAACGCGUAGAACCUUACCUGGGUUUGACAUGGAUCGGGAGUGCUCAGAGAUGGGUGUGCCUCUUUUGGGGUCGGUUCACAGGUGGUGCAUGGCUGUCGUCAGCUCGUGUCGUGAGAUGUUGGGUUAAGUCCCGCAACGAGCGCAACCCUUGUUCACUGUUGCCAGCACGUUAUGGUGGGGACUCAGUGGAGACCGCCGGGGUCAACUCGGAGGAAGGUGGGGAUGACGUCAAGUCAUCAUGCCCCUUAUGUCCAGGGCUUCACGCAUGCUACAAUGGCUGGUACAGAGAGUGGCGAGCCUGUGAGGGUGAGCGAAUCUCGGAAAGCCGGUCUCAGUUCGGAUUGGGGUCUGCAACUCGACCUCAUGAAGUCGGAGUCGCUAGUAAUCGCAGAUCAGCAACGCUGCGGUGAAUACGUUCCCGGGGCU
rnacentral:rRNA from 1 species